rnacentral:lncRNA from 1 species
GUUUCUAAGUUCAUGGCUUGCUUAACUUCUACGAGUAUGCGCCAUCACGACUUCCGAGGGUGAGAAUUCCGGAUCGUGAUAGAUACCAUGUGAGAAAGCAUGGAUAAAAAUAUUAUUAAUUAAUAUUCUAUGUUACCAUAUGCCCUAUUUAUAUGUAUACAUAACACAUAAGCUACUUGUAUUACACAAGAGACUAGGACAAAUUACAUAACUAUUCUAACAAAUUACAUACAUUCACAUAACGCUUCUACCAAAUAUUAAGGCGUUGCAGCAGAGCCAUUGCAAUUCAAUUCAAUCUCUGCUGGCUGCUUCAGUAUCUGACGGUCUAAUCUCUGCUAUUAACUUGGGUGUGUGAUGGAGUUAUUAGGGUUCAAUAGAGUUAGAGCUUUGCACAAUUCACUUUCCUCUGUACAAUCUUUCUCCUUCUUUUUUUUUGGGGUCAAAGCUACCAAGUGUUGGUUGGGUAGCUUUGGCUAACCCCAACUUGUUCAUUUCAUUCAGCAGAAGUACAAGGAGGUAGGAUGUACAAUCAUUCUUUUCUUAACUUUUUCUUACUGUUCUAGAUUUUGAAUUUGUUCCCAAAAAAAUUUUAAGUUUAAAUUUAUGUAUAGUAUCUAAAAGUUCCUGUGGUGCAAGGUUGCUGUUUUGGUCCCUCAAUUAUUAGUCCUACUACAGAUAAAUGUUUCAAGAUUCUGUGUUUUUAAUUAUUAUAUCAUGAGAUUACUCAUUUUAUGCCUUGGAGAAUUUUUAGUACCUUUUGUUUUAUGAUAAUAUCUUUUGCAUUUGCAGAAAUUUGGUAAUGGAGGGGACCAAUAGCUGACUGUAUUAUUAAUAAAAGGAUCUAAAUGUUUCUAGUGUCAAGUAUGCCAGAAAUCAAAACUAGAAUUUGCCAUAAUAAAAGCACAAUUAUCCCUUCUAUGUAUUUCUUUUGCUUUAAACAGAAAUGUAAGAAGGAAAAAGAAGGAAAGAAGCUUGUCUGAACAAUUAGUUUUUUGUCAAGGUAGUAUCAGAUCUUCAUGUAUUUCUUUGAUCCUAUAGUGGACUUUCUGGCAUAUUAUAUCGUGGUCAUACUAGUAAUGAUACAGGUUUAAAAGUUUUCUUUAGACACGUGACACAUUCUUUUGAUUCCCCAUCUUGCUUGGACUUAGACAUAGUAGUAGUUGUUCUUCUGCACAUUUUUCUGAUUAUUGGUCAGAUAUUGUUUUAAUAGAAAGUAGAAUGUGCAAGCACAAAUUGGGUUCUCAUAUUCUAGGCCUUCUUACUGUUUUUAAGGUGUAAUCUGAUAUUUCUACAUCCCCACGUGAUGCAGAAGCUAGUAGCUGGGUAGAGAGUAGCUGUUGGAGGUCUAAAGUGAGGUUAUGGGUUCACGACGAUCAGCAAAACGUCUCCGUGCCUCAGGAGCUGUGUUUAAGUUAAUUUGUGUCUAUUCUAAUUUUGUAAAUUUAUUUGUCUGUUUUAAUUCUAGUAAACUGUUAGCUUAUUUUUAGUCUAGGUGUCUAUCAGAAGCUCAUGUGGUCUAAGUGUGUCUUUAAUUCCUUAUCCAUGAUCAAAGAAGGAACUCCUCAUUAAGCAAGAACUGUAACUAAGAACGGAGCAGUUCAAUUUUGGGUACAGGAAAAACUCUCCUAGAGCAAUCUAUUUUCAUCGAAUUUUUCCAAUUGAUAAGAAAAGCUAGUCUGAAGUCCAAUAAAUUUCAAUGAGUCUACUCAGUCAUUUUGCCAAGUGAGUAAUAAUUUCCAGCUUAUUAUCAUUGGCCUUCAGGUGAUCAUUCAACUAUGUCGUACUACUUGUAAGUCUUGCUUUGUAUCCAGCCUCUUGAGCAAAUUAUGAAUGACACUAUGUUUUGCUUGAUUGUGUUGUCUUGAUCCAUUGUGAAAGGUGGGUUUGCUUGAUUGUGUUGUCUUGAUCCAUUGUGAAAGGUGGGUUUCUAUGAAAACUGAAUGGUAUUUCCACUGGUGCACCACUUUUCCUUCUCCCCUUCUUCUAUUGCUUUCUGCCCCACUUCUGCAACUUAAUCCUUUCUAUAUUUGCGGUAAUUGUUUUGCUGCUUCUUCUUUUUUCUUUUCUUUUUCCCCUCUACACCGUUUAAUGUUUUCUUUGCUUGACCUAAGGUAUUGCCUUCUCCUCCAAACUAGCAGGAAUGAGAAGCCAUUUCCAGCUACUGGGCUUGCACAUUUCUCCCUGCUGUAUUUUUUAGCUAUUCUUGAGCCUUAAGUUAGCUUCAAGAUGGUGAAGAAUUAUACCAGCAAAUGUAACAAUCAAAGUUAAUAAAGUGCUUAAUUAGUACAGUAAUGUUUGACAGUCCAAUGCUGAUACUUAACUUGCUGUCACAGUGAUCCCAAAGUUCUGCUCUUGUCCUUAACUAGCUGAAAUUGAAACCAGAUAUGCAGGAAGGAAGGAUUCACACAUCCUCUCUGUCCUUAACUAGCUGUAACUGUAACGAGAUACGAACUCCAGUUUAGGUGUCAGUGCUACAGGUCUGGGGACAGAAGUAGAGAUUCAGCUCAGUAAAAUCUGUUGUUCGAGUAGACAAAAACAACAACAAAAAAAAACCAGUGAAUUCCUUCUAGUGUUGUUCGAGAAGGAAUUCUAGAAAUUAGUUCAUGAAGAGAUUCACUUAUUGCAAUAUUUAUUUACUACAUGAGUGAUAAAGCAUACGAAAACUUGUGGUGGUUUGUCUUACUUUUGCAAGAAUCUAGAUCUUUCCGUAUGAAACAUCACUAAUCUAUUGGAUACAUGGCAAGCUGUUAACUGAGAUCUCAGUUGAGGGUUCUGAUGUUGAAGUUGUAGAAGUGAAGGUUGACUUUGCUAUACUUAGCCGCUUUGUCUUAGGAAUAAUAAUUCUUUAUAGGAUUAAACGUUUCUCUUGUAGGCGAUCUCUCAUCAUUUGUUCUCCUUAUUGUGUAGGCGAUCUUUUAGCACAUCAGUCAAAUGACAUGGAAGGGUCCAUCUAUCAGUAUAUGGGUACAGCUUUAUUCUCUCCAGAACUAUAACUAGCCUUUUUUUUAACCCCAGCUCACUGGGUGAUGUAACUUCCAUAUUUCAUCAACCUCAGGCCUAAAUGAUCUUCUGUUUCUUCAACAUUUUUCUGAUUUUUUUUUUCUGUUUAUAUAUGUUGAGAACUGUGUUCAGGAUACAGCAGCUGUUCUUGAGCUGUUUGUUUUUGUCAUGCUUCAAUUGUUUUUGGGGCAUGUCAUUCAUGCUUUUGUUUACUCAUGCAGUUGUGCUAUAUGGUAUCCUAUUAUAUAUUU